GGUGAUGUUUUGAUGUCAGGAUGCCUGAAUGAGUCACACUUCCUCACUGGAGCAGACUUCAUUCUAAGGGAAAAUCAAACUGAGAUAACUAGAAGCCUCAUAAGAUUUCACCAUUGAGUGCCUUGAAACUCAGAAGUGACUUUGGACUUUUAAACACUGUUGAGACUGUUGAUGACUAGCAUGAUAUUUGGAAGUGGAUUAAAUGUAUUUUGUAUAGGGAUAAAAAUGAGACUUUAAAGAUCCCAUAUGGAAAGCCGCAUCAGACUCCUACCAGCAUGCCAUCCCUGCCAUGAUGGAGCUUUCCCUCCAUGAACAAAAGCAGUUCUUCCUUCCCUCUUUGAGUGGUCUGAGAGAGGUGUUUUGGAGAACGGAAGUGAAAUCCUCCUCCGGGCAGUGUAAAGACAACACAGCAAACACUCUAGUUAGCACACUUCAAUCCCUUACUGACGCAGAUGACAUCCUCUACAGCCCUGAGCAGACCCACCCUUUGUUUUCUGUACACAACGGGAGCUUCAUAAGAUAGUGGAAGAAGCAAUAUACACUUCUUUCAAGAGAGCACAGAUGCACUGAAAAACAGCAUGGGAAUAAGAGUAAAAGUAGACAAAGGCACCUGAGUGAUGUCAGUGUUGAAGAUAAACUCACUUGGGUUAUGCUUACAAAUAGACCUGUUAAACACAGUGACAGGAGUUGGCUGCAACAGGAUUCUAUGUGUGAGUACCAAGACCAUCAUCUUUGGAUAGACAAAGAUCUUCAAUCAAGGAGAAGUUAACUAACCUGUUUGAAUCCAUGUAAGUAGGUUAGAGUGGGAUUGCUUUCUUUCUUUCUUUUUUUUUUUUCCAAGACAGGGUUUCUCUGUGAAGCUU